rnacentral:rRNA from 1 species
GACGAACGCUGGCGGCGUGCUUAACACAUGCAAGUCGAGCGAUGAAGCACCUUCGGGUGUGGAUUAGCGGCGAACGGGUGAGGAACACGUGAGGAAUCUGCCUUCCACUCUGGGAUAACUCCGGGAAACCGGGGCUAAUACCGGAUAUUUUCAACUGGCGGCAUCGCCGGUUGAAGAAAGUUUUUCGGUGGAAGAUGAUCUCGCGGCCUAUCAGCUUGUUGGUGAGGUGAAGGCGCACCAAGGCGACGACGGGUAGCCGGCCUGAGAGGGUGACCGGCCACACUGGGACUGAGACACGGCCCAGACUACUACGGGAGGCAGCAGUGGGGAAUAUUGGGCAAUGGAGGAAACUCUGACCCAGCGACGCCGCGUGAGGGAUGAAGGCCUUCGGGUUGUAAACCUCUUUCAGCAGGGAAUAAGCGAAAGUGAAGGUACCUGCAGAAGAAGCACCGGCUAACUAUGUGCCAGCAGCCGCAGUAA